UGAAUCAUAGAAUCAUAGAAUCACUAAGGUUGGAAAAGACCCACCGGAUCAUCCAGUCCAACCAUCCGCCCUUCAUCAAUGGUUCUCGCUAAACCAUGUCCCUUAACACAACAUCCAAACGCUCUUUAAACACCACCAGGCUCGGUGACUCCACCACCUCUCUGGGCAACACAGAGAGAUGCUGUGAAGAUCAGAGUGCUUUCAGUGUUGCUUUUUUCACCCUGCCUUUUUUUCUGUAAUGAUCUUGCCUGCUCCCUGACUACACAGGCUUAAAAUAAGAGCAAGUUUCACAACUGAACAUAAAAUCUGGGCUGUGGAGGGCUGGCAGUAGGUCUGUUGUGUUGGACACAGGCACAGGCACAACUGGGUGAGGGGGUGCCGAGGUCUCAAUACCUGAAUGCUGCAUUUCUUUAAUUGGGGUGGAGAACAACCAAACCUCCUCCUUCCAAAUAGCUUUUUGCUUCCUGAUGCCAUCUUCUUAUCCGCUUCCUUGAAACUCACCACACCUCAUAAUUUCUCCUAAUUUAAAUUUCUCUUUAUGUGUUGAAGGACGGUUUGUUAUGGUUGCCCAAAAAGAUGGCAGGGAGAUCCUUGACAAGCUCUGGAAGUCAACUGGGGGAGCGGAGGAGGCUCAGGGGGGUCUGAGGGGACCACACCAUGUUCCCGCCAUCCUUUCUUGUGUCCGUCUCUCAGGACCAGAGCAAGGCAAUGGCUGCUCCUUCAUUCUGCAUGGCAGAGCUCUCAACAGGACAGUAAUGGAGGUCGCCUUAGAGAUGGAGGAACACUUUUCAAUUAGGAGAGGUACCAAGCGUUCCUGCUGGUGCUGGCUGACCCCGUGGCUGUUCCCAGCUGCGUCAAUACCAUUCCUUUUCUCCACAGGCAGGGAUGACCCUGACAGUGGCUGAGUAUCAAUACUGACCAGGACACCACAGGAAAAGCAAUCUUCAGGGUCACAAAGCUCACCAUGAAGCUUCAUUUUUUCAUAACUUUUUUACAAUAUCUACCAAGGCCACAACCUCACGGUAUGAUUUCUCAGCGUCUCUAGCAGUGCACCUUCUGGCACGAGGGUGACCCUGGCAAGUAUCUCACACAGGAGGAUUUUGUUCGGUAACUUUCUGCUGUGUAUCACUUUGUCAUGAAACGCUGAGCAUGUGUUGUUUAAUGUCAGGCAGAAGCACAGCUUGGGUAUUGCUUAUG
ensembl:lncRNA